AUGUUGGUUAAGUCCGCAACGAGCGCAACCCCUAUUGUUAGUUGCCAUCAUUCAGUUGGGCACUCUAGCGAGACUGCCGGUAAUAAACCGGAGGAAGGUGGGGAUGACGUCAAAUCAUCAUGCCCCUUAUGACCUGGGCUACACACGUGCUACAAUGGUUGGUACAACGAGUUGCGAGUCGGUGACGGCGAGCUAAUCUCUUAAAGCCAAUCUCAGUUCGGAUUGUAGGCUGCAACUCGCCUACAUGAAGUCGGAAUCGCUAGUAAUCGCGGAUCAGCACGCCGCGGUGAAUACGUUCCCGGGCCUU
rnacentral:rRNA from 1 species